rnacentral:rRNA from 1 species
UACGUAGGGUGCAAGCGUUGUCCGGAAUUAUUGGGCGUAAAGAGCUCGUAGGCGGUCUGUCGCGUCUGCUGUGAAAACUCAGGGCUUAACCCUGAGCUUGCAGUGGGUACGGGCAGACUAGAGUGCGGUAGGGGAGACUGGAAUUCCUGGUGUAGCGGUGAAAUGCGCAGAUAUCAGGAAGAACACCAAUGGCGAAAGCAGCUCUCUGGGACGGUACUGACGCUGAGACGCGAAAGCGUGGGGAGCGAACAGG